UGGUGUCACGACUUGCCUUUCUGUGCUUUGCUAUAUGAAGAACAUGUAUAUGGCAAACUCAAGGCACUUGAAUUGCAGCAACUCUCUUCUUCCUCUAUUAUAUGACUAACUUUACAUGACCAGCUAUCUCUCUGGGGAAGAACUUGCUGCGUGGUAUAUCAAGUGUACACGAGUGGGAUCCUUAGGCAAUAUUUUCAUAGUCAAUGGUCUAUAGAACACAGGGGAUUGUUUGGUACCACGUGUUCCAUAAGCUUGGGCAGGCACAAACUUCAUCCUCUCCUGGGCCUUUCAUCCCAUCAGCUUCAUAACACUCCUAAGCACUGCCUUCUUUUCUUAACUAAAGAAAUGGGGUUGCAUGCUAUCCUCACACUAUUGUAAGCAGCACAUAUCACUUGCACACUGUUCACUUACACUCUAUGUUCACAAGAAGAGGAAGGGAUUUGGGUGCGUAGGGGAGACUUUCAACAUGGAAGGAACUGUGCAACAGUGCCUGUGGGCAAGCUAGGCCCAGACCUGUGAGAAGAGAGUCUCCACAGGGCUUCUGCUUCCAGUGCAUGCCUGGGAAAGAGAAGUCUUGGAACCCACUGUGUCUCCCCUGGUCUUGGAUUUUUAGAGACAGUGAGUUCAGGCUAAAUCUUAAAUGGAGGUUAGGGUCUCCAAAGACCUGGUAAGAAAGGUUCAAAAGCAGACAUGACUCAUUCCUGCAAGAAGAAAGGGGAACUUGAGUUGGUUAAACUUAAUUAUUCAGAGCUCUUCCGGAAAUGGAGUCUUCAGGAGCUUCUGGAUGCUGUGUUAACUCUUUCAAGCCACAAAGGACCAUUUAGCGUUCUGAGGUGCUCCUUUAGAACUGUUAUUAUCCAAUUAACUAUAUUUCAAAAGAUACAAGCUGAAUUAAACACAGUUCCACCAUUAUUGCUGCCUAUUUCUAUCAAGGCUUUUCUCUAGAGGGGAUCAAGGUGAUUUAGAAAUUCCUAAUUAACAGAUAGUAAUUCAAUUAUGGUCUUCCUAUAAAAUAGCCCUAAUUUCAGGUCUGUUAUAACCAAGUAUAGAUGUUAGUUAAGAGAAGAAACAACUGGGACUUAGCUGUAAUGAAAAAAACAGCACUUAAGAGCACGGCAGAAUGUGCACAAUUGUCCUGAGCGGGAGAAGACCACACCUGCAUAAACUCAGUAAUGCCAUGAUUCUAACUACCAUUUCCUGAGGAGCUACUAUGCCCUGGGCUAUGUAUACAUAAUCUGACAGUCCACUGAGGUGGUGAUUCCAGGCCCAUUUUACAAAAAAAGAAAUGGACUUGCCAGGCCUCAGAAGGAAGCCCUAGAGCAGAGUACUCAUUAUCAGGGCUCACAUUCUUUGCUAACACCUCUGCUUGAAACAAAAACAAGCCACACCAACCACCUAUCUCUGUCCUGGGGCAUGCAAGUUCCCCUUUCAUUCUCUCAUUUCUAGUCAUAUUUCAUGUCCUUGAAUAAAAACAGUCUUAUACAGCAUGCUGUUCACCCCAUGACUAUCUACCUGGGUUACGUGUGAAUUUACUCUUGUAUUUACAGAGAUGUAUCCUUGCAAAUACACCAGGGAACAGAUGGGAUAAGGAUGAACUCAAGCUCUCCGGAGGCGGAGCUGGAGUCAGCCAAGGCUUUCUUCCUCGGAAGCAUAGGAGUACAGUAUGUCCUACUCACCAGGGUCAGUGCUGGGGCACCCCAAGUCCACAUGCUAAAAUCACUGCAAACCACAUCUCUGAUAAUUAGCUCAUGUAACAACCCACUUAUGAGCAUGCUUGGAAAAUCACCAAACAGUGUACACACGUGAGGGCUCUUGCCCAGCUCAAGGUGGCUUCACUAAGUCUAAAGGUACAUGGCCCCACACAGACAUGGAAGGUAGGAACCCGAUGAUGUAUUCAUCCUGGAAAUCAAGGUCAUUUUCAGUCAUUUAUCAUAUACACAUUUUGUGUGCCAUAUUCUGCUGUGUAAUGCCAACAGUGGUGAGCAGAACACAUAUGUGCCCUGCCAUCCUGGAGCUCAGACUAAGGGGAG